CGCAGCCGCGGUAAUUCCAGCUCCAAUAGCGUAUAUUAAAGUUGUUGCAGUUAAAAAGCUCGUAGUUGAAUUUCGAGAUCAAAUUGUUGGUCGUGCCUCGGUACGUACUGGCAUUAUUGAUUUCUCCCUUCUGAAGAACCUUGAUGUCAUUAAUUUGGUGUCUUGGGGAAUCAGGACCGUUACUUUGAAAAAUUAGAGUGUUUAAAGCAGGCUCACGCUUGAAUACAUUAGCAUGGAAUAAUGAAAUAGGACGUUUGAUUCUAUUUUGUUGGUUUCUAGGAUCGACGUAAUGAUUAAUAGGGAUAGUUGGGGGCAUUAGUAUUCAAUUGUCAGAGGUGAAAUUCUUGGAUUUAUUGAAGACUAACUACUGCGAAAGCAUUUGCCAAGGAUGUUUUCAUUAAUCAAGAACGAAAGUUAGGGGAUCGAAGACGAUCAGAUACCGUCGUAGUCUUAACCAUAAACUAUGCCGACUAGGGAUCGGAUGAUGUUAAUUUUUAAUGUACUCAUUCGACGCCUUAAC
rnacentral:rRNA from 1 species